UGGGUAACCUGCCUCAAAGAGGGGAAUAGCCUCCCGAAAGGGAGAUUAAUACCGCAUAAUAUGUUUAAGUCGCAUGACUUUAACAUCAAAGGAUUUCUUUUAGAAAUUCCACUUUGAGAUGGACCCGCGGCGCAUUAGCUAGUUGGUGAGGUAACGGCUCACCAAGGCAACGAUGCGUAGCCGACCUAGAGG
rnacentral:rRNA from 1 species